rnacentral:ncRNA from 2 species
CGAUUCCACUAGGGGUGCCUUUUAAAAGGGCUGAGAUCAAAGUGAUUGACUUUGGGACUCUUUGAACUUGAGACGGUUAGUGCCGGCGUAGGGAAGUGGUGGAUUGGUAUC